rnacentral:tRNA from 1 species
ACUACACUAGUUUAAGAAAAAACACUAUUUUGUCAAGAUAGAGAUAGACCUUAUCUGUCUGCGUAGUG